CAGUGCAAGUGUAGAUGCCGA
rnacentral:miRNA from 1 species